UACGUAGGUGGCAAGCGUUGUCCGGAUUUACUGGGCGUAAAGGGCGCGUAGGCGGCCACCGCAAGUCGGUUGUGAAAUCUCUGGGCUUAACCCAGAAAGGUCAACCGAUACUGCGGGGCUAGAGUGCAGAAGGGGCAACUGGAAUUCUCGGUGUAGCGGUGAAAUGCGUAGAUAUCGAGAGGAACACCUGCGGCGAAGGCGGGUUGCUGGGCUGACACUGACGCUGAAGCGCGAAAGCGUGGGGAGCAAACAGG
rnacentral:rRNA from 1 species